UUGAACGCUGGCGGCAUGCCUUACACAUGCAAGUCGAACGGCAGCACGGGAGCAAUCCUGGUGGCGAGUGGCGAACGGGUGAGUAACAUAUCGGAACGUGCCCAGUCGUGGGGGAUAACGUAGCGAAAGCUACGCUAAUACCGCAUACGAUCUAUGGAUGAAAGCGGGGGAUCGCAAGACCUCGCGCGAUUGGAGCGGCCGAUAUCAGAUUAGGUAGUUGGUGAGGUAAAGGCUCACCAAGCCGACGAUCUGUAGCUGGUCUGAGAGGACGACCAGCCACACUGGGACUGAGACACGGCCCAGACUCCUACGGGAGGCAGCAGUGGGGAAUUUUGGACAAUGGGCGCAAGCCUGAUCCAGCAAUGCCGCGUGCAGGAUGAAGGCCUUCGGGUUGUAAACUGCUUUGUACGGAACGAAACGGUGAGCUCUAAUACAGUUUGCUAAUGACGGUACCGUAAGAAUAAGCACCGGCUAACUACGUG
rnacentral:rRNA from 1 species